rnacentral:rRNA from 1 species
GAUGAACGCUGACAGCAUGCUUAACACAUCAGCAAUUGAUUGGUGGCGGACGGGUGAGUAACGCGUAAAUAACUUUCUUCACAGGUAGGGACAACAUUUGGUAACAAAUGUUAAUACUUAAUACUGUGAGAUAGCUUUGCGUCCUAUUAGCUAGUUGGAGAGGUAACGGCUCACCAAGGCGAUGAUGGGUAGCCGGUCUGAGAGGGUGAUCGGCCACAAGGGGACUGAGACACGGCACUGAGUCCUACUGGAGGCAGCAGUAGGGAAUAUUGGAGAAUGGACCAAAGUCUGAUCAAGCAUUUGUGUGUGAACGAUGAAUUUUUGGGAAUGUAAAGUGCUUUCAGUUGGGAAGCGGUACCAACAGAAGAAGUGAGGGCUAAAUACGUGCCAGCCGCCGCGUUAAUA